rnacentral:rRNA from 1 species
UUACUGGACGUCGAGCGGCGGACGGGUGAGUAACGGCUGGGAACCUGCCCUGACGAGGGGGAUAACCGUUGGAAACGACGGCUAAUACCGCAUAAUGUCUACGGACCAAAGGUGGCCUCUACAUGUAAGCUAUCGCGUUGGGAUGGGCCCAGUUAGGAUUAGCUAGUUGGUAAGGUAACGGCUUACCAAGGCGACGAUCCUUAGCUGGUUUGAGAGGAUGAUCAGCCACACUGGGACUGAGACACGGCCCAGACUCCUACGGGAGGCAGCAGUGGGGAAUAUUGCACAAUGGGGGAGACCCUGAUGCAGCCAUGCCGCGUGUGUGAAGAAGGCCUUCGGGUUGUAAAGCACUUUCAGCAGUGAGGAAGGUAGUGUACUUAAUACGUGCAUUGCUUGACGUUAGCUGCAGAAGAAGCACCGGCUAACUCCGUGCCAGCAGCCGCGGUAAUACGGAGGGUGCGAGCGUUAAUCGGAAUUACUGGGCGUAAAGCGCAUGCAGGCGGUUUGUUAAGUCAGAUGUGAAAGCCCGGGGCUCAACCUCGGAACCGCAUUUGAAACUGGCAGGCUAGAGUCUU